rnacentral:rRNA from 1 species
UACGUAGGGUGCGAGCGUUGUCCGGAAUUAUUGGGCGUAAAGAGCUCGUAGGCGGUCUGUCGCGUCGAAUGUGAAAACCCGGGGCUCAACUCCGGGCUUGCAUUCGAUACGGGCAGACUAGAGUUCGGUAGGGGAGACUGGAAUUCCUGGUGUAGCGGUGAAAUGCGCAGAUAUCAGGAGGAACACCGGUGGCGAAGGCGGGUCUCUGGGCAGUAACUGACGCUGAGGAGCGAAAGCGUGGGGAGCGAACAGG